UACGGGGGGUGCAAGCGUUAUCCGGAUUCACUGGGUUUAAAGGGUGCGUAGGUGGGUUGGUAAGUCAGUGGUGAAAUCUCCGGGCUCAACUCGAAGUCUGCACGAGAAACUGCCGGGCUUGAGUAUGGGAGAGGUGAGUGGAAUUCCCGGUGUAGCGGUGAAAUGCGUAGAGAUCCGGAAGAACACCGGUGGCGAAGGCGGCCUGCUGGGCAGUAGCUGACACUGAGGCGCGACAGCGUGGGGAGCAAACAGG
rnacentral:rRNA from 1 species